rnacentral:piRNA from 1 species
GAGUAAGUCAUAAGAGAUCGAAAAGGUGACAG